AGGGCACCACCAGGAGUGGAGCCUGCGGCUUAAUUUGACUCAACACGGGAAAACUCACCCGGCCCGGACACCGUAAGGAUUGACAGACUGAGAGCUCUUUCUUAAUUCGGUGGGUGGUGGUGCAUGACCGUCCUUAGUUGGUGGAGCGAUUUGUCUGGUUAAUUCCGAUAACGAACGAGACUCUGGCCUAUUAAAUAGACGGUAUAUCGAAAAGUAUAUCGCACUUCUUAGAGGGACAAGCGGCGUCUAGCCGCAUGAAAUAGAGCAAUAACAGGUCUGUGAUGCCCUUAGAUGUCCGGGGCUGCACGCGCGCUACACUGAAAGAAUCAGAGUGCGCUUUGCCUAGUUCGGAAGAACUGGGUAACCCAAGUAAAUUCUUUCGUGCUUGGGAUAGGGAAUUGCAAUUAUUUCCCUUAAACGAGGAAUUCCCAGUAAAUGCGGGUCAUAAGCUCGCGUUGAUUACGUCCCUGCCCUUUGUACACACCGCCCGUCGCUACUACCGAUUGGAUGACUUAGUGA
rnacentral:rRNA from 1 species